AAUCUUUUAGUUUAAAUAAAACAUUAAAUUGCAAAUUUAAAGAUAAAUUAAAUAAUUUUAAGAUUU
rnacentral:tRNA from 1 species